UGUGGGAAUUGCCGGGGAUAAUUUCUUGACUUGAGGUCGGGAGAGGUGGGAGGUACUCCCGGGGUAGGGGUGAAAUCCUGUAAUCCUGGGAGGACCACCUGUGGCGAAGGCGUCCACCUGGAACGAACCUGACGGUGAGGGACGAAAGCCAGGGGCGCGAACCGGAUUAGAUACCCGGGUAGUCCUGGCCGUAAACGAUGUGGACUUGGUGUUGGGAUGGCUUCGACCCGCCCCAGUGCCGAAGGGAAGCCGUUAAGUCCGCCGCCAGGGAAGUACGGCCGCAAG
rnacentral:rRNA from 1 species